AAAGUUCGAUACAGGAAAGGAGUAGCGACCCAUUCUGGCUCCGAGUCAUGCGGCGCCGGUCGUGAGGCCGACGUCGAAGCGUUGAUAGGGGAAACCGCAGGCCAGCCAUUGAGCCGCGAAAUCGGUAAGUCUGGAGCGCCGACGCCGUUAUCGAGAU
rnacentral:autocatalytically_spliced_intron from 1 species